AGCUCCAAGAGCGUAUAUUAAAGUUGUUGCAGUUAAAAAGCUCGUAGUUGGAUUUCUGGUACAAUGCGCCUGGCCCGCCAAGGUUACUUGUGUGAGUGCCGGUGCGCGUUUGCCAUCCUUCUAGAGAACGUUUCUACCCUUCGCUGGGCCGGACUCGCGAUCUAGAUCUUUUACUUUGAAAAAAUUAGAGUGUUUAAAGCAGGCUAUCGCUAUGAAUACAUUAGCAUGGAAUAAUAAUCUAGGACUUCGGUUCUAUUUUGUUGGUUUCUAGUACUGAAGUAAUGAUUGAUAGGGAUAGUUGGGGGUGCUAGUAUUGGCCGGCCAGAGGUGAAAUUCUUGGAUUCGGUCAAGACUAACUUAUGCGAAAGCAUUCACCAAGGAUGUCUUCUUUAAUCAAGAA
rnacentral:rRNA from 1 species